rnacentral:rRNA from 1 species
UACGAGGGGCGAGCGUUAGUUCGGUGAAUUAUUGGCGUAAAGGGUGCGUAGGCGGUUCGCAAGUCCUGUGUGAAAUCUUCGGGCUCAACGUCGAAGUCUGCACGGGAAACUGCGGGGCUUUGGAGUGUGGGAGGAGGUGGAGUGGAAUUCCGGUGUAGCGGUGAAAUGCGUUAGAUAUCGGGAGGAACACCGUGUGGCGGAAAGCGGACUCGACUGG